rnacentral:tRNA from 1 species
GCCCUCGUAGCUCAGUGGAUAGAGCGCGGCUCUCCUAAGGCCGGUCGUCGGAGGUUCGAUUCCUCCCGGGGGCA